GACGAACGCUGGCGGCGUGCCUAAUAUAUGCAAGUCGAGCGAACAGAGAAGGAGCUUGCUCCUUCGACGUUAGCGGCGGACGGGUGAGUAACACGUGGGCAACCUACCUUAUAGUUUGGGAUAACUCCGGGAAACCGGGGCUAAUACCGAAUAAUCUGUUUCACCUCAUGGUGAAACACUGAAAGACGGUUUCGGCUGUCGCUAUAGGAUGGGCCCGCGGCGCAUUAGCUAGUUGGUGAGGUAACGGCUCACCAAGGCGACGAUGCGUAGCCGACCUGAGAGGGUGAUCGGCCACACUGGGACUGAGACACGGCCCAGACUCCUACGGGAGGCAGCAGUAGGGAAUCUUCCACAAUGGGCGAAAGCCUGAUGGAGCAACGCCGCGUGAGUGAAGAAGGAUUUCGGUUCGUAAAACUCUGUUGUAAGGGAAGAACAAGUACAGUAGUAACUGGCUGUACCUUGACGGUACCUUAUUAGAAAGCCACGGCUAACUACGUGCCAGCAGCCGCCGUAAUAC
rnacentral:rRNA from 1 species